rnacentral:rRNA from 1 species
AGAGUUUGAUCCUGGCUCAGGACGAACGCUGGCGGCGUGCUUAACACAUGCAAGUCGAACGGGGUGCCAGUGGUAGCAAUACCAUUGUCAUCUAGUGGCGAACGGGUGAGUAACACGUGGGUAACCUGCCUCAUAGUCGGGGAUAACGCCUGGAAACGGGUGCUAAUCCCGGAUGGGUUCCCGGGUCGCAUGGCCUGGGAAGGAAAGCUGCCGCAAUGCAGCGCUAGGAGAGGGGCCCGCGGCGCAUUAACCAGUUGGUGGGGUAACGGCCUACCAAAGCGACGAUGCGUAGCCGACCUGAGAGGGUGACCGGCCACACUGGGACUGAGACACGGCCCAGAC